rnacentral:lncRNA from 1 species
AGAAUCUAGGUUGCCUCCUAGUAGCGCUUGUUUAACGUCACGAGCCUGACCCAAACCUGUUUAGCACUUGUCAGUAAGUGUCAUUCCUUCCAACACCCAUCACUAGGUGUACCUUCCCGUUAUCCUUCAGUGGAUUCAUAAAAAUUAGCAUCCCUCAGUAGAUGCUACCCAGAAAUUGUUCCAAAAAAUCACAUAAUUACAAGAUUAAAACUGAAAUAAACCUAAACUAAAAAAAAUAAAAUUGAUUUACAACAAUUGGGAUGGCCCCAACAAACACCCAUCAAUAGGUGUUAAAUUUCUUCUUGCUUGGUAUUCUCUUCUUCUUCUUCUUGCUGAAUUUCUUCAUAAAAUUGUGAACACCAAGCACAUGUUUCCAAGUUUGAAUAUAGGAACCUUAAUCUCCAAUUUCUUAAAGAUCUCCAUCUUAAAAUUCUUUCCCUUCCUAUGGUUUUUCUUUUUAUGAGGAGUGGGUUUUUUAUGUGAUCUUUUCUUCUUUCCCCUCUUCCUCUUUUUCUCAACCUUACCCCUCAACUUUCUCUUUUUCUCUUUUCUUCUUUUCUUCUUUAUUUUCGCAUAUUUUCUAUUUUUUUAUUUUUUCUUAACCACUGCUUAUUCUCCCUCAUCAUCUUUAUCUUCCUCAACCAAUUCUUCUAUUUCUUCUUCUUUUAAAUCUCUCUCUAUCUCCUCUUCCUCUAUCUUUUCCUCCUUGACAACCUUAUCGUUUUUAGAGAUAGUGGCUUGAUAUUCUUCUUCAGGGUUAACUUUAGUAUUAUCCCUAAUAAUGCCCAAAGACUUCAAUAUGCAAGACUGUUGUUCCUACAAUAUACGUUCUUCUGCUUCCCCCAACGUUUCUUUUAGCAAGGAGAAUAGUUUCUGCUGUAAAACUCGUUCAGCUUCUCCCAAUGUUUCUUUUGGCAUAGAGAAGAGUUCCUGCCAUAAACGUUGCUUAGCUUCCCCC